CACCGCGGUUAUACGAGAGGCUCAAGUUGACAGACAACGGCGUAAAGAGUGGUUAGGGAACUUUUAAAACUAAAGCCGAACGUCCUCAGAGCUGUUUAACGCUUCCGAGUUAAGAAGGUCUUUUACGAAAGUAGCUUUACCAAACCUGACCCCACGAAAGCUGUGAAA
rnacentral:rRNA from 1 species